rnacentral:rRNA from 1 species
UACACUCCUGCGGGAGGCAGCAGUGGGGAAUUUUGGACAAUGGGGGCAACCCUGAUCCAGCAAUGCCGCGUGAGUGAAGAAGGCCUUCGGGUUGUAAAGCUCUUUUGUCAGGGAAGAAACGGUAGUAGCGAAUAACUAUUACUAAUGACGGUACCUGAAGAAUAAGCACCGGCUAACUACGUGCCAGCAGCCGCGGUAAUACGUAGGGUGCAAGCGUUAAUCGGAAUUACUGGGCGUAAAGCGUGCGCAGGCGGUUGUGUAAGUCAGAUGUGAAAUCCCCGGGCUCAACCUGGGAAUUGCAUUUGAGACUGAACGGCUAGAGUGUGUCAGAGGGGGGUAGAAUUCCACGUGUAGCAGUGAAAUGCGUAGUUAUGUGGAGGAAUACCGAUGGCGAAGGCAGCCCCCUGGGAUAACACUGACGCUCAUGCACGAAAGCGUGGGGAGCAAACAGGAUUAGAUACCCGUGUAGUCCCAUG